rnacentral:rRNA from 1 species
AGUGAACGCUGGCGGUAGGCCUAACACAUGCAAGUCGAACGGCAGCACAGUAAGAGCUUGCUCUUACGGGUGGCGAGUGGCGGACGGGUGAGGCAUACAUCGGAAUCUACUUUUUCGUGGGGGAUAACGUAGGGAAACUUACGCUAAUACCGCAUACGACCUACGGGUGAAAGCAGGGGAUCUUCGGACCUUGCGCGUUUGAAUGAGCCGAUGUCGGAUUAGCUAGUUGGCGGGGUAAAGGCCCACCAAGGCGACGAUCCGUAGCUGGUCUGAGAGGAUGAUCAGCCACACUGGAACUGAGACACGGUCCAGACUCCUACGGGAGGCAGCAGUGGGGAAUAUUGGACAAUGGGCGCAAGCCUGAUCCAGCCAUACCGCGUGGGUGAAGAAGGCCUUCGGGUUGUAAAGCCCUUUUGUUGGGAAAGAAAAGCAGCAGGUUAAUACCCCGCUGUUCUGACGGUACCCAAAGAAUAAGCACCGGCUAACUUCGUG